GAGGAGGGGUGUCUGGGAACAGAACUGAAUGGCCCGUCUGAGUGCUGGGUGGAUGGCAGACAGGAAUAGUCAGUGGCGUGAGAGUAACUGAAUAAGAAGAAUAAUGGCUACGGCUCCUGUUUUUUCCACUAAAAGUUCCUAGGUUACUCUGCUUUGUUAUAGAUGAUAGCUCUAAAUAGGAGCUUUGCCCAGCCUCCCUCGAAAGGCUCUGAAAUAUCAGCAGCUGGUGUCCUGCUGCGUGGGGACACAAUUGAGUCUGUUCCUGCAGACAAUAUGCCUGUCACUGGAAAACAUAAAACUGGCAAUUAAUGGAAGAGGCUCUGUGUUGAGCUUUCAGUCUGGACAAUACGAAGGGUCUGGAAGAGCAAGAUUAAGCCUGGCAUGUCUACAGGAGCUUGUUAAACCGCCUCAGCGAGGUUUGUUUUAGGCAUUCAAAAAAAAAAAAAAUGGUCAAAGUUGACUCUUCAAAUGAGCCUAGGACGAAGGCUGGCAUCGGAAUAGAACCAGCAACACUGAGUCUGAGGCUGGGAAAGGAAGGACUGUCUUCUCCUCACCUGAGCAGUACCAGAGCAGUCAGCUGGGUGCAAUGUGGCCCAUCCAAAAUAUAUAUCAAAUAGGAUUUGAUACAAAUCCAACUUUGGCCACAGUUCCUCCAACUACUGCCCUCAAGUAGUGUCUAAAUACAACCUGCAUCAAGACUUAAAUAUAUAAAAUCUUUCUACGGUGUCCUGAAAACAUCAAGGGGUGACUACUCAGCAUUUAAAGUCUCUGUGGGAGUUUAGUUACAAAACACAACACAUUUACUAAUGUGAAGGUCUGGGUACUAGACACACUAUGCAGAUAGCACAUGGAAUUAGCAUUUGCACAAUUCUCUGUUUAAAAUGUGCUGCUCCAGUGCUCGAAAUAGAUGGAUGAACUUCAAAGUGAACCAGCACAUAAACCCUCCUGCACUCCAACCGCCCCCCUUCCUCCACCCCUGAAAGCACCGAAUUUCCCGUGACCCAGUUCUGGGCACUCAACUCACCCUGACUCCUAGAAAGAACUACACAGAACAAAUACAGCUCACAGCAUGACUUGAAAGUUAACACGUCUCUCCCUGGUGAACCAAAUUGGAGGGGGGGGGGCAACUUCCCCAGGUGUCCCACUAACACAGCCUUCCUGACCUCUAAAGUGGGGAGCAGUUAGCUCGAGUGGCCUGGCUGAGCUCCACGGCCAUGGCCUUACACCAGACAGCGUAAAGGAGGGUCUCUGAGGUACUUGGUAUCUCAAACCAUUUUAAGACUUUGUAGGCUCAAGCUAACCGUACCUGGAACUAGGCCCAGUUACCUUCUGGGUUUAAGUCACAAGCCUGAAGUUCUCCAGGUAAGAAAUCUAAGAACGUUUUCUCUGCUCUUUGUGCUGUCAAAGAAUGGGGCUUAAAUUCUUUGGAGCCAAGUCCAGCUUCCCAUCUUUCUGCAAGUGGUACAGAAUAGCUCCUAAUGGCUCUCCUAGGAAACGAAACGGUAAGGAAGGGCUGGGGAGAAGCAGAUGUGAAUCUUCCUUCAUGCUGCUUAAAGCCCCAUAGCCCAGGAGAUGGCUCCCUGAGCCACUGGGUGUAAUCCCAUUACAUCGAAGGGAAGCACUAGCAUCCCAUCUAUGCUUUAACCCUUGUGGAGUGGAUCCUUUUCUUAAGGCGGGAGGAAACAAACCCACAAGGAUGCAGGCAGCUUGGCCAGCUAAUCUCAAACUCCUUGUUUUCUGUCGGGGCAGGAGUCCUCUCAGACAUCAGGAAAGGUACUGGGGAAAGUCCUUCUCAACGUAGAACAUGUCUGUUCGACUGCUCUCCAGGUUUCGUCCAGCUACCUAGUGCAUGUACAAAACAGCACGUUGAGUCCCCCCCUCCCCUUUUGCCUAACGCCCCAGGGCCUCUGGAUGCUCCCGUUCCAAAUGGCAGCUGUGCUGCUGUCUGCAAGCUGCUGAUCGAUUCGGCAAUGGAGGCUCUUGGAAAAGAGGAAGAAUCUGGCAGCCUCCUCUUAAAGAUGCUGCUGGCCUGAAAGCAGUACUGGACUCCAGUGCAGCCAUUGCUCAAGCCUGCGAACAGUAUGUCUACAGCACUGCUAUGGUGUCUGAUGACAGAAGCAUCCAGGCCUACCUCAUCAUCAAGGUUUCCUCCACAAUAGAUCAGCUAGCAGUCUGUGUCAGACGGCUUUUGGAGACCUGUGCUCCUGGAUCUGGUGCUCUGAAGGACCAUCUAGAGGCUGAAGUGAAGAACCUUGGUGGGAAUGUUGCCUUCUUGCUGAACGUAAGUCACUGUCCCCUUAGAGCUCCUGGGAAAGGCCAUUCCAUUGCCUGACCAUGGCGAUGGACUCUCCUAACCCUGUAAUGAGGAGGAGAAGCUGGUAAACGGGCAGCGGCUGUUGCAUGAGAAGUCAUCUUGCAUUAUGUUUAAGACUGAACCAUUUGCUUCACAGGAUGUGGGGCCUCAAAUACCAGCAAGGUGGCUGCAGACACUCUUAAUGCUGCCACCACUGCUAGCUUAAUGACUUUGUCCUACCCUUUUGGUAGUCGGGAGCUUGGCUCCCAUGGGAGGAUAGACUUAGGUGGUGGUGACCCUGGAUGCUGUACAUCUCUGCUAGACCUUUUCACCUCCCUAGCUCUUGACAUCCAUUGGAGGCAGGAGCCUGUGACAGAGCCUGUACCAUGGUGCAGAGAACCAGGCAGAAUGUCCUGAACUUCUGCACUCUGAAUUUUCAGCCUGAGGACUGUACGGGGGAAGGCUGGAGAGGUGACAAGACACCUAACAACUUCAAGCCUACUCAGUCCAGCCUCCCUUCUGGGAGCCCUUAAUGCUGCCCCUGAUCUGACCAGAGGGGUGUCUCUCUCUAAUUCCCCCUCCUCCUUGCCACGAGUUGAGUCAAAGCACACAGCCUCCAUAGUGCUGCCUGAUUUGACUGGAACCAGGUCCACAGAAUCCUGGACCUCUA